rnacentral:sRNA from 1 species
UCGGAAAAAAAGGGAAAAAAAGCAUCUAACCUUGGAGAAAUGGCAACAAAGGCCAUAAAAAGUUCAGAGAAUAUUCUUAAAGAAAAAUAACUAAAGCUCUCUUUUGGGAGUAGCAAAUAUCACAGUAUCUAACUUCAAAAUCCAUGUGGUCAGGACAUUAUAUUUUAAAAUGACAAAUUAUUUAUGUCUAGAUUUGUGCUGUGUGGAAUGAUCUACUCAGGGAAACUGAUUUAUGUAUUAUUAAAUUUUGGAGCUCUAAGAUGGAGAAAUUCAAGAAUAACUUUAGACUUUUCAUUUCUCAACUAGGCCUUAGGGGUAAUUGGACCAAUAAAAUAGAAGCUCUUAAUUUAUAUGAAGGAGUUUUAAGAACCAUUAAAAGCAGACUUGAUUUUUAAUGAAGCAGAUGCCUGGAAGUAUAAGGGAUGGGGAGAAUAUUAAGAAGUGUUUGAAGACUGCUUGGUAAAAAUGUGAAUAAAAAUCAGGUAUAGCAACCAUCAAGAGGAGCUCUUUGCUGUACUAUCUCUUCUAUCUGUAGACUACUUGCCACAAUUGGGAUGUUUUUCUGUACCUAAGAUGGACCAAGUUCAUUUAGUGUUUAGUAUUCCUCUACAUUUUAUUUUCUGCUAAUGGACCCGGCUACAUAAUUUGAGGUUUGCUCAAAUGUUGACUCUUUAAUAAGGCCAUCACUGCCACAGAAAUUGGCCUUUCUACUGAUCCAUAACCAUUACUUGCUUCGUAUUGCUAUCAGAGCAUCUGUUCCAACCUGCCAUCAUCCUAUUUUAAAAUUUAUGCCCUGGUUUCCAAUUACCACAUAAUUUGGUUGGCAUCAGUAAUUUAUGUACCUUUUGCACAGUGAGCCUGAGACAUAAACAGGAGAUGGGAAAGAAAAAAAAUCGUACUUAUAUAUUCAAAGGGUAAAUUGGCUUCUAUGUUCUCAUGUUGAGGAAGUGGAGUUUGAAGUAGGAUAUAAAAGAAAGGUAAAGUUUACGUCUUUUGUUUACUGUAGAAACUGCAUAUAUAAAACAUUGUUCAUCAUUUGUAUUUGGAUGCUAAAUGAAAUACGUUCUCAGAAAAUAUUUGAUGGUUAUUGGUAAUGUUAUUGUUAUAAUAUACAAAAUUGUGAUAAUCGAUCAAUCCCCUAUAUUACAAAAACUACAUUAGACUUAAAAUCAAUAAUUCAAAUUUUAGUAAUCCACUCAAAUUAUUAAUUAUUAAGCCCUGUCACAAUGCUGUCAGUUAUCAAUUAUUAGACUGGAUAGUAUAGUAAGCAUUUGUGUAUAACUUGCAAAAUUAUUGAAUUACUGUUUGACAUGUCUCUGGUUUUAUUGUAAAUAUUUAGAUAAUGUUACAUUGUUAUGUGAUUUACAUAUUGUCAAACGAGAAAUGAAUACUUAAUAGAUUUGGCUAGUAGAGUUGGUGAACAAACAACUUUAUAUUGAUAAAUAAAGUAAAUUUCAAAAUUGAAAAGAUGAAAAGAAACUACUAUGAAGUGACAAUUUCUAGUAUUGUCAUGUGAUGUUUUGCUGAAGCAGACAUGUGAGAGGACAGAGGGUAUUUAUAGAGCUUAUACGUAGUUCCCAACAGACAGUAACAGGGUCCUUGAGUAGCUAGCCCUGCAAUGCUUCCCUGGCCUCAUAUCUUUGCUGAUCUUCACUUCAUUGCAAGAGUCAUGGCAGAUUUCUGACUGGCUCUAUUGACUCCCACUGUCUCAUGCAGACUUGAACUAUUGGUUUCCUGACAACGAAGAUUUGAAAAGCCCCAAAUAACUAAUUCUAAUAGAUCUAAAGAGUGAUGUUGCAUUGACCUAUUGUGUAAAUAUUUGCCAAGUAUUAUUCUGUAAAUAACUUUCAAGAGCCAAGAAUGCUUCUCCAUCCAGAACAUGGAGUAGUAAUUAAAUGUGAUGUCUCAUGAGUUAUAUUUCUAUUUUACUUUCAUUGUUCUUCUAAAAACAUACAUAAUUUAUAACACUUUCAACAAACCAAAUAUGCUUUUAUACUUUAAUACAAUGUAUUUUUCUACUUCUGAUUUUCAGGUUAUUAAUAGUAUUUCAAAUGUACUUUAGUACUUACUGCUUCCAAAUGUUCUUGGCAAAACUCAGAAUGAGUUAAUUUAUUUAUUAAAAUAUUUUUAGUGUCCAAUCAAAAUAAAAAUAAAGUUAUGAUUUUUCUUCAUCUUCAGGCACAGUGAAUUACUAAUAAUGAGAAUAAUGGUAUGGGACUUUCUAUUAAAGAUUUUAAGUUAAUUUAAACUACAUACAAAUGGGUCUUUGUAUUACAAUACUUUAUAUUUCAUCAUUUCUAUUAUUUCUUGAAUUUCAUAUUUGAAUUGAUAGAGCUAUAUAGUAAUAAUAGAGGGACUUUCCAUUUGGGGACCAAUAACUAUGUGACUGACAUUAAUGAGUUAUAGUGAAUUUUGUCCUUGGCAAUGAGAUUAUAUACAUCUGGGUAAUACCAUUAGUUUUUAAAAAAGAGAUUUGGUGCAUUGCAUUGUCUGUCUUGAGUCAUGGAUAUGAAUACUUAAGAGACACAGAGAAUAUCAAACCUAGGACUUCAUCUGUUGAACCUAAAUGUAUUUUUUCAUUAAUAACAACAAGAGAUUUUUACAACUGACAUUUUCUUGAAAUUAUUCUUUCUAUAAAAUCAUUAUUAAGGAAAAUGGAUUAAAAUAUCAAUUGUAUGUUCAAGAUUUAAGGUUGCUGCACUUAUUCUUUUUAAUUCUUUAUAUAUCAAAUAGAUCUGUAAACAAGCCCAUGGCAAUUUUAUCAUUCCAUUUGUUUAAUAAGUAACUCAAGCAUAGUGAGUUUUAAAAAGUACCCAGUCAUUCAACUGUUCAAUUAUUUACUUAAAUCCAGGGAUCAACUCUGCAGUGGUCUUUUGUUGAAAUUUAUUUGAUAGCAAAUUUUCGUUUUUGUCUUUUCAUCAUUUGACAGCUUUUUCUAUCAAUUAAAGAAGAAUGUCUCUCUGGUGCUACAGUAUUUCAUUACAUUCUUGUGUUUGGUGUUUAAAGUAAAGUUUAAUUAGACAGAAUAACUUUAGGUAGCUGUAAGACUUGGCAAGACUUUUAUUUAGGUAAGAGAUGAACUCUUCCAUCCCAAAUUAUUGUAGAGAUGUAGCUAAUUGGGUUGGCAGGAAAAAAAUGAGAAAUGACUGAUGUUCUGGACAUUGUAGGCUUUGAACAACUUAAAUGGUAAGAGACUAUUUCUAAAACAGAUUAAUCUGAUGAACAUGGAGAAGACAAUGAUAGUGUCAUGCUAAUCUUUAUGCAUGGUUCACAUCGAUAAUUAAAACAUAGUUCAUAUAUACAAUUGAAUUUUAUUUAGGUAUGAGGAAAGAUACACUUACUGAGUUUAUAUCAAAAUGGACUGAAAAGGGAAACAUUAUAUUAACUUUGUAGCUAUGGCUCCAUAAUCCAAGCCUGGUGUGGUCCUGAUGGGGACAGAAUGACAUGAUUCCUGCUUCUGGGACAGGGUUCAUGUGCCCCAUCUAUUCCCGCUCUCCUCCAAGUGAGCCUCCAUUCAUGUUGAUGGCUUCUCUGAGGACAUAAGGCUUGCUUGUAUAAUAAUGUAAAUAUUUUACAUUCCUCCUAGGAAUGUUUUUUCUGUCAAUAUUACUGACUCCAUGAUAAUUAAAAACAGCAUGAGUCCUAGAGGUCAGGGUGUGCCUAAAGUCUCAGGAAAAUGAUACCUAUCUCCUUCCUGUUCUACCUGAGGCCCAACCAUCAGCAGUGAGCUGAAUGCUGUCUUCCCAUUUGCUCCUCAAUAGCUCCAUCACCUUCCUAUAACCAGAAGGCCGGUCAAUCCUGAGGAAAAUCCAGUUUAGAGCCUCUCAAUCCAGUCUUCUGCCUACCCAGUCCACCUGAAGCACAGAAAACAAAUGUAAGCUGAACUCUGCCUCCAAAGCUCCACCAUCAAGCCUAGAACUCUACCUUUCUUCCCCAGGAGUUCUGCAGUACCACUCAGGCAACAGAUACCAGAGUGAUGGGGCUGCACACGCAUAUCAAAGUUUAUAACCCAGAAAUGCUCCUGUCCAAAGGUACAACAGGGACAAAAAAUGGAGUAGAGACUGAAGGAAAGGCCAUCUGGUGACUGGCCCACUUGGGAAUUCAUCCUGUCUGAUUUCAUCGCCAAGAGGCACUUGCUCACAGGAACGUAGUGUGGCUAUGUGGAUGCUUGGAACCAACCAUCAAGGAAUCCUCAUGGGGGAGCUGGCGGAAGAACCCGAGGUCCUGAGGAGGAUUGCAACCCCAUAGGACGAACAACAUAGGCUGGCCGGACCACCCAGUGCUCCCACGGACUAGACCACCCACCAAGGAACGUACAGGAAGGGAUCCAUGGCUCCAGAUACAUAUGUAGCAGAGGAUGGCCUUGUCAGACAUCAAUGGGACAGGAGGCCCUUGGUCCUGUGGAAGUUGGAUGCCGCAGUAUGGGAGGACACUGUGGGGGUUGGGCAGGAGAGGGAGCGCCCUCAUCUAGGCAAAUGGGAUGGAGCUGAGAGAGGUUGUGGAGCGGGGGGCUUGUAGAAGGGUAACCAGGAAGUGUGAUAUCAUUUGAGAAGUGAACAUAUGGAAUG